UACAGAGGUCCCAAGCGUUGUUCGGAUUCAUUGGGCGUAGAGGGUGCGUAGGCGGCGCGGUAAGUCGGGUGUGAAAUCUCGGAGCUUAACUCCGAAACUGCAUUCGAUACUGCCGUGCUUGAGGACUGGAGAGGAGACUGGAAUUUACGGUGUAGCGGUGAAAUGCGUAGAUAUCGUAAGGAAGACCAGUGGCGAAGGCGGGUCUCUGGACAGUUCCUGACGCUGAGGCACGAAGGCCAGGGGAGCAAACGGG
rnacentral:rRNA from 1 species